rnacentral:tRNA from 1 species
GCAAAUAUGCUGGAAUCGGUAAACAGGUCUCACUUAAGAUGAGGUGUCAUAAUGGCUUGUGAGUUCAAGUCUCACUAUUUGUA